AUACGGAGGGAGCAAGCGUUAUUCGGAAUCACUGGGCGUAGAGGACGCGUAGGCGGGUUUGUAAGUCAGGUGUGAAAUCCUACAGCUCAACUGUAGAACUGCACUUGAAACUACAGACCUAGAGUAUGGAAGGGGCAGAUGGAAUUAGUGGUGUAGGGGUAAAAUCCGUAGAUAUCACUAGGAAUACCGAAAGCGAAGGCGAUCUGCUGGGACAUUACUGACGCUGAGGCGUGAAAGCGUGGGGAGCAAACAGGAUUAGAAACCCCGGUAGUCC
rnacentral:rRNA from 1 species